UGCCAGCUGUAUUUUGCUGUGCUACUCUCAGCUGACUCUCCUAACAAGGUGGGCGGAGCAGUUUGUGCAAUUAACCAAUUUGGCCUUUGGUGGCAGCUUUUAAAAAUCCCCUUGCCUGACAGCAUAGUCUUGCUGCUGGUGUGCUUGUAGGUUGGGCACACGCCUGUGAGGCCACUUUGGCCACACAUGUCUGUGCCACAGGCUAAGCUUUGGCCUUGACGUAGCCAUGGCCGUACCUUCAGGUAGCAUGGCCUUUCCAUCAGUGCUACCAUUGGAGUAGGUUGUGCUGCUGUCUUGUCUUACCGAUUUUGUUUCCUUUUUUUGGUUCUUUUGUCUUGUCUUGUAGUUAAGUUAUCCUGUAUUUUAUUUUAACUAAGUUCAAGUGGUCUGUGGGCUUUGUGUGGCAGGAAAAUGGACCUACAUUAAAAGGAUGGCUAGUCACUAUUAGUGUGGUGCAACUGCACAUUUUUGCUGUGGAAUUCAAAGGGUUUGCUGUGGACACUUUCAGUCAUUGAUUGCUGUGUGUUUUUGUGCACUCUUUGUUUGUAUGCCUCCUUAACUCAGUCCUGACCGAGCCAAUGUAAACCUUGCCGGCAUUUUAAGAAAAACUAACCAAAAAGAAUAAAUAUCUUGAACCAUUGUUUUGUUUCUUAGGCCUAUGUUUAAUAAAACUGCCAUGGUGUCUGGAAUUCAUGUCUUCCUCAUGUCUAUUGGAACCUGUGUUGCCUGGUUUUAGUUAUGGUAAUUUCCUGGGUGUUAAACUAGCAAAAUAACUUCCCAGGAUGGCGUAGU